UGUGGGAGCGAGCUUGCUCGCGAUAGCGGUGAAUCUGGUACACAAAAUGUGUCUGACAGACCGCUAUCGCGAGCAAGCUCGCUCCCACA
rnacentral:misc_RNA from 1 species